rnacentral:ribozyme from 1 species
UGCUCAGCAACUCCUAUCCCUACCUCCUCGCGGUACCGGCCGGAAACUAUGAACAACCUUAGGAAAGAUCGGGUAACCAACCCCGAUGGGAACUUUGGUCGUAGGCUGACAUGGAAGA